CGGGACGGGUGAGUAACGCGUGGGUAACCUGCCUCACACUGAGGGACAACAGUUAGAAAUGACUGCUAAUACCGCAUAAGCGCACAGGAUCGCAUGGUCCGGUGUGAAAAACUCCGGUGGUGUGAGAUGGACCCGCGUUUGAUUAGCUAGUUGGUGGGGUAACGGCCUACCAAGGCGACGAUCAAUAGCCGACCUGAGAGGGUGACCGGCCACAUUGGGACUGAGACACGGCCCAA
rnacentral:rRNA from 1 species